rnacentral:rRNA from 1 species
UACGUAGGUGGCAAGCGUUGUCCGGAUUUACUGGGCGUAAAGAGCGCGCAGGCGGUCGUUCAAGUCGCGUGUGAAAGCCCCCGGCUCAACUGGGGAGGGUCACGCGAUACUGAUCGACUCGAAGGCAGGAGAGGGAAGUGGAAUUCCCGGUGUAGUGGUGAAAUGCGUAGAUAUCGGGAGGAACACCAGUGGCGAAGGCGAGUCCCUGGACGACUCCUGACACUGAGGCACGAAAGCUAGGGGAGCAAACAGG